rnacentral:rRNA from 1 species
GACGAACGCUGGCGGCGUGCUUAACACAUGCAAGUCGAACGGAAAGGCCCCUUUGUUGGUCCUCGAGUGGCGGACGGGGGCGUAACACGUGCGUAACCUGCCCUUGACUUUGGGAUAACUUCAGGAAAGUGGGGCUAAUGCUGGAAAGGAAUAAUUGCUUCAAGGGGGGGGUUGGAAAGCGUCGGCGGGUUUGGAUGGAACCGCGGCUUAGCUGCUUGUUGGUUUGGUAGGGGGUUACCACGGCUUCGUCGGAUAGCCGGCCUGAGAGGGCGACCGGCCACCUUGGUACUGCGAUACGGACCAGAAUGCAACGUGAGGCAGUAGUGGGGAAUCUUGCGCAAUGGGCGGAAGCCUGAUGUAGCAACGCCGCGUGCGGGAUGCCGGCCUUCGGGUUGUAAACCGCUUUCAGCAGGAGCGAAGAUUUUGUGACGGUACCUGCAGAAGAAGCAACGGCUAACUACGUG